AAAGUGUUUUUCGACAUUUCAGUUUAUUUACAAGAUUGCCACUAUGGUGAAAGCGGCUGGGUUAGUUCGUUUUGGGCUGUGUUUGCUAGGCUUACCUCAAUUGUUGAUGAGGCAUGCCCUUUGGGUGUUCAAAUGAUGGGAAUGCCCAUCUAGGGUUAAGAUUGGACGGCCCGAAUUAAAAGUUUGGAGGGUACUUUUGUCAUCUUGAUUGUCGGGACUGAUUGGGAUAGAUGGUGAGGGGAUUGUAGGGCAGACACGAGGCCAUGCCGCCUCUAAGAUAGAGAUGGAGAGAGGGAGACCGCGAGAAUGACUGUCUCGCCUCCAUCCUAUCCUCCUCUCGCCGCCGUCUCCCUUCUCUCGCCUCCGUCGUCUUACUCCUCCUUUCUCUGUCUCUAGAAUCGUUCGCUCUAUUCGAAGAGGAUCGAGAGUUCUGAAAUGGUGUUUAGAUAGGUAGGGGGUUGUGCGUGUGAGGUCAUGCUUGAUGAUUGUGGAAGCCAGCGAUUCUGCUUCUACGACAUAGCCUCGACCCUGCUUCCAUCUCCAUUUUCUCUCCUCGCCUUUUCUCUCAAAAAUCACCAACGAGCUCAAAAACCACCAAGCCGUUAGAAAUCUCUUCGAUUCUCUCUCUCAGAAACUACGAAGCACAACGACCUCUUGCUGAAAAACCGUGAAUAUGGUCCCAAUUCGAAGGAAAUUUUAAGCUCAGAAAAGCCUUGGUAUCCUGGUCAUUAGCAGCUGAUUAAUGGAGAAACGAGGACCAUGCCAUUGCGAGAAUUUGUAGUUUGCAACUUUCAUUGGUUAUUAUAUUUGAUUGAGUUAAACUUGGAUUUCUAGAUUUUGACUUUUUCGUUUGUUUCUCUGUUGCAGAGUUGGCUUCAUUUCAUUCCAGUAACUCUAAAUAGGUCCAAGAACUCACUGAAUAGUGAAAUUAAGGAGUGGAUUAAGAAGACCAAGUAAAGAAGAGGCGUGGUUUUGUUUUGAUUUUCAUCAUCCAAUAUGUUAAAUUUAUUGUUAAUUUCAGGGUAUUACCAGCUUUCUGCCGGCUCUAAUUCCACACUUCAGAAAGGUACUGGGAUGUUGUUUGGAACAGAGCUGGAGGUGACAAUGUGGUGGAAAAGCUACAAGGACUGGAUAUAGAGUAAUGGUUUAAUAAUGGUUUUAGAAUGGUAAAUGAUUGCAAUUAAGUGCAAUUGUGGCUUCUUGCUCUGUGUUUGUUUAUUGGGAUACCUAGUUGUGGUUUUCCUAUUGGUCCUUAAUGUGAAAUGGAAAGAUGUUGGCGGUCUUGAGAAUGUGAAGAAAUCGAUUCUGGAUACUGUUCAGAACUUCAGGACAGUGCAUCUUUCCAAAGACUUGAUGGGCGACUACCUUCAUUACCUAUUCAAGGGGCCACUUUGGCAUAACGCUACAGAAUAAUCCCUUGAAUGAU